rnacentral:tmRNA from 1 species
GGGGAUGAUCGGCCUAGACAAGAGUGCGUUUCUUAUAUGCGCAACGUGGAGCAACGUUAACUCCUUAAUCUGACGUAAACUCUAAGUGCUACAACACUCGGAAAGAAGGUAACCUCACCGUAUUUUGCGGCUAAGGACUUCAAUUUUGCUUACGCGUUAGCCUAAAGCUCGCCUAAGCAACAUCACUCGUACAUAUUCUCGACUUGUACGAUGUUGGUGUUAUAUCGUCGAGAUAGAUCCUAUACUUGUUCCGCUAUAGGUUCGAAACUAAGGGACUCGACUUUGUGGGAAUUUUGUUCAUCUCUUACCCACUUCGUUUAAACUCGCUUCGGCGACGAAGAUGUACUAUACAUUGUAGAUCCAUAUAAGAACCUCUUUUGCACGCGGGUUCGAUUCCCGCCAUCUCCACAU